rnacentral:rRNA from 1 species
UACAGAGGUCCCAAGCGUUUGUUCGGAUUCACUGGGCGUAAAGGGUGCGCAGGUGGGUUGGCAAGUUUGAUGUGAAAGCCCCGGGCUUAACCCGGGGAAUGGCAUUGAAUACUGCUGAUCUGGAGGAUCGGAGGGGGGGACUGGAAUUCUUGGUGUAGCAGUGAAAUGCGUAGAUAUCAAGAGGAACACCAGUGGCGAAGGCGAGUCCCUGGACGAUACCUGACACUGAGGCACGAAAGCCAAGGGAGCAAAACAAG